CCGGCGCCAUUAUUAUUCUGCCUGCUCUGCUGCCGGGAUAUUGUCUGCAAGGGGCCUUUGGCGGAGGCCGUGGAUCUUCAGAAGGGCUUGCCUAAGGAUGGCUCUACUUCCAGAGAGCACUGUGAGCCCUUCCACACAGCCAUAUAACCUAGAAUAUCAAGGCAGAAAAUCUCACGAUACCUGGAUUAUCUGAGUCCACACUCAUCUAUUCCAGCCCCCACCCACACAGCUGAAUAAAAUCCCACAUGCUCUGAAAUGGGAUUUGGACCAAGACACCCAUGACUAACUUGUGGGGUUUGGAGGGAAUUGACCUUGGGUGCUAGGAGUUCACCCACAUCCAGCUAGCACUCUGAACCUGACCUUGGAUGAACAUAACAUAGCAUUACAAAAGACCUAACCCAGGCAUCUCUGGGUACUUAAGGGUAGUAUAUAGUAAAAGGGAAAAUAUGUAUGUGGGCAAGUUAUUUCUGCAAUGACUCCCAUUUCGAGAGCACCCUGUGUCUCCCAACAACUAUGGAUUUGGACCAAACUAGGUAUACAGACACCGCCCCCCCCCCCCCCCCUCUGGUGACCAAUUUUAAGUAUUGGUGUGCUUUUGUGGCAGUGACAUGAUGAUGGAAGUUGUAUCCUUAUACAUUUUCUACUAGAACAAUUCAUAAAAACCUCCAAAAGCAACUUCUUUUAUCGUUACAAAAGACCUAACCCGGGCAUUGUUGGGUACCUAAACUAGUGUUUAAAAUCUAGUCAGGGGGUGCUGUGGUUUUUAAAAAAUUUUGGUGGAUUUUAACUAAAUUUCUUAGUACUGUUUGUGUUUAGUUGUAUUUUAGUGUUUGCAUAUUUGUAUAUUUUAAAUUGUAUACUUAUACUUUUAUGUCAAGCUGAUUUGAGUCCCCUUUGGGGAGAUAAAGUGGAGUAUAAAUAAAUUAAUAAUUUUUGUUUCUUA